UUCAUUUUCCAGAGGACAGCUACCUCUCGUGCCUACUCCAUUAUUUUGGGGGACACCUUCCCUGAGAUAUGGGCUUUGCUUUGUGCCCUGAAUAUGCUAUGUGCUAGUAUGGUAAAGCACUCCUGUGGUUGAACAUGGAUCACUGGUAUUUUAGUCAGUGACCAUAUGGAGCCCAUUGCUGUGACAUCUGGAUGCUUCACGUUCAAGUUAAAAUCCAAAAAUCUGAGUCACCCACAUAGGCAGACCUCUCUUUGGAGGAUGGAUCAUUUUUGUUCAGUGUUUGUACAGGAUGUGGUAUACGGUGGGACCAGGACCACAACUGUGGAUCUGACCUAGGCACUACUGCGAUAUAAAUCAUAAAAGGCUAACAGAUGGGCCCAACAGUGACUAUAAAGGCUAUAACUCAGCGAAGAAACGUUCCUGGCAUCCUGAUUUCAGAAAGCUGAACUCCAGAUGUUUAGAAAAUGCAGAACUCCAGGAGGGAAGGCAGCCUUAUGUCCGCUUCCCAAGUCUGCAGAGUAGAAGGAGACUGAUUUGAUGCUCAUUAAGCUCCUAGAAGCCUUGAGGCGUUAAAGUUAAUGCUAAUUAUACUUGUUUUUCAUAUUUCUUCUGAUAGGCUAUUGGUUGGCGUGUGAAGACACUGGGGCUACCACAAAUCAGUGGAGAGGUCCAGGGGCUGUUUUCUGGCUGGUAUACAGAGAGACCAGAGAGUUUUGCCUUUUAGAUGGCCUUUGGACAGGCUUCAACACUUGGCAGCAGGAAUUAGUGAUUUAAAGCCUCCACCCACCAAACCUGUUGAGGCGACUCCAGAGACUUUAACCUCAAUGCAAGGUGAUGGCCACUGGUGUGUCCCUGCCAGAGCUCGUAGGGGGUCUCACAAUCCUCUGAGGCUUGUGGAGAGAGAGUAUAACCCUCAGCGCUGACACCUGGUGGCACUGUAGAAGACCAACAGACCCUGGUAAUCGGCAGGUGGGAUCAAACCUGGGGCCUCUGGAGCUUAGUGCAUGAGCUAAAAGCCAUAUGGCCCUUAGCUAAGGCUGUAGAGAGAGAUUAAUGAUUCUGCAUUAAGUGGUCUCCAUGCUACUAGAUGGGACAGAACACCCCCACCCAGGAAGUGUGUGGGUUAUACUAGCACCUGAAGCCACUCACAGAGGCUCAAGCCAGCUGUCCUAGUCCCAUGUAAGGCCAGCCUCAGUGCAUAAACAGCUACAAAAAUCUCGGUGUGGAGGUGGGCUGUACUACUCAGACUGCAGGGGCUGAAUGUCCCACCUCCUGUCCGUGGGACUGCAGCCCUUCAAAAUCCUGUCGCUUUGGGAAAUGGAGCCAGUUGCAUGGUGGAGGCUUGAAACCCUGGAGUGAGAAUCCUGCAAGAUGACCUCUUCAGGAGAAGCACAAGUGCAAGGAUACAGAUGAUCCCUUUCAACAAGUCACUUGUAAAGAGGAACAAGAUUGCAAAAUAGAAACAAGUGGGAGUUUCCAAACAGAUUGUUUUUCCUCCUUUCUUUUUAUAUUCAGAGCUGAAUAGUAUUGCCCUGCCAGUUGAUGGUCAGGGGGAAUCAAGCCUCCAGCCUCAUUCAGAGGGACCAUUACUGCUACAAGCAGCCAGGACUACUCCCAUCUUCCAGUCCAUUCUGCAGUGCAACCAGCCAAAUUAUGGCUGCUCAGGAUUUGGGGAGAGAACUGCCGUGAGAGAAAACAAAAAAGGGGAAGGGUCUCUUGUUCUUUCUCCCCACUCUAAUGCAGCCAUGAUUUGGCCCACAGUAUUUACCAGGCCAAAUAUAACCUAGGUCCCCAGCAAGUCUGAAGUCAAACUGUACCCUCGAGCAAUAAAAAUCAUUCUGCUGUCAUUAGUCAUAUGUUUUUGAUUUUAUUGUUUGUUUUUUUAAAAACCAACAGUUAUUACAAAUGAAUCAUUUGAAGGCUUCUGAGAGGGAGAAGUCUCAUUACAGAUAUGAUGUAUUUUCAGUCUUCUUGUGAACCGAGACAGCAAAGUCAAAUCCAUAUGCAUAAACAAAACCAAACAAAACUAGAACAGUUCAGACCGCAGGUUUAUAUCAUGCAAAUUCCCUAAUAUCAACAGAAGG